AUCUAAAUAGUUUAAGUAUAAAAUGUUGGUUUGUGGUGCCAGUGAUAUAGUUGUUAUUUUAGAUU
rnacentral:tRNA from 2 species